GGAUCUCGCUUUCUGUAAUCUCCUUAUCCAAUUGUUAGGUUUUUUCAGCGCGAAGGUCUAAUGGCUUCGACGAGGUUUCCCUGUGCUCAAACCCUAUCGAAAACCUCGAAUUCUCUUCUCCGAUCUUCUCUUUUAGCCCUAAUGGCGUCGAAUUCGCUUCCAACUUCUCGUUUAGGUUACCGUUUUACUUGCAACGGCUCCUGCAGCACCGUUCCAGUUCGCACUUUGGAUUAUGAGUUCACCAAUGGUUCUUCUGAAGUGGAACUGAGAUAACACCUUGGGACACAAGAAAUUGGUAGUUCAAAAGAUGUUUUUGUGGAUGCAAAUCAAGCCUCGUUGAUAAUUAAAGUACAAUGCUUGGGAUCGACAAUCACUUUUCUGGAAACGAAACAACAAUUUGAGAAAAUAAAACCUGCAGAAACAAUAUGGUUUUCCAUUGUUAUGGUAGAUAGCCUCCUACAAAUAGUAUGAGUCUUAAUGUCUAAAUAUGACAUUUGUUUGAUGAACAGGUAUAUUGAUGAAGAUCAAUUAGUUAUAAACUCAAAGAAGCAUGAUCCAGACUUCAAAUGGCCCAACAUUUUAGAGUCUUGGUAAUCCCUUAUAGGAGGAUCUACGCAGUUUCCAAAAGGAACAUCGAUGAAUUUGAUAGGGGGGAUUCAACAGAUACUAACCAAAAAGUUGGGCAGGAACUCGAAGUUGGGCUAGGGCAAUGUCUAUCAACUGAAUUGUGGCCUUGAAACGUAACAACUUAAACAAGGCAAACAUUUUAGUGCCAGGUAUACUCCAUCGAGUACAAAAGAAGUGCUGGAAACAUUUUCCAAGCAGAUCGUUGAUUCAUGUGAGUACUAUUUGCCCUGAACAUGCUUUAAUGCCACUAAUCACUGCCAGGGUCUUAUAAACUUUUUCCCUUUUCACAAUAAUCACCUUCUAGAGGUUUUAUUGGGAGGUAACUGAUUCCUUUGACUACUAACAAUUUGAUAAUUUGGUUUAUAUUGAUUCUGAGGUCAGAAUGUUAUAUACCUGUUUCUGUGUUUCUCAUCUUUUAAAAAGAUGUUAUGUACCUGUUUCUAUGUUUUAUAUCUUUCUAUUACAUAAAGAUCCCCACUUUUGGUAAUAAAAAAUAGAGGGUAAUCACAAAAUAAAUUUGAAUUAAGAGUCCAAAAGGAAGCGUUAAAUGUUCCACUCCUCUUAUAACUUCUCUUUGAAACGAGGACUCAAAACUAUUUCCUCCAUCUCUGUUACCAAAACUCUACUCAGAAAUCUGUGAGGGUCCCGAUUGUAAAUGUUUGUUUUAGGAGGGGCAAGAAUGGAAAUACAUUAUCCCUUAGAACAUAUAUGUGUUAAACACUGGUGGUACAAAGUCAAUAUAGGUCUUAUAUUUGAUAGACACGCAAGUACUUAUUGAGUAAUCUAAAUAGACACAUAAUAAUAAAUAAAAAAGUGAAAUACAUCAUACUCAUUUUUUAAGCAUAUAAAUUCGUAAACUUAUUGAUUUUAAGUUUCUUUUGGGUAUUAGAAUGAUGUAUACCAUACCAAAUAUAAAUUUUAAUAAACAUGUCUUUGUGUCGAAGUUCUGGUUUUUUUUUUCCCAAAUAAAACGACAUGUCAUCAUGUCGUAUUUGUGACUCGUAUCUAUAUCCAUACUUCUUCGGUUCCUAUAAUCCUCCCAAAAUUGAACUCUACUACCAUCCCCCAUAAAGAAAAGGUAAUGAAAGGGAGGAAACUUGGGAGGCCGGGGGAAAUAACCUUCCAAGGAUUGCUAAAGGUGCCCUUAGAUAGUGCCUACAUUUCAUUUAUUGAAAUGAAACCCACACAUCUACAUAAUUGUCAAAGCAACAAAACUCGUGGUUCUAACAACCACUUUAGAGAGACCACAUUUUCUAACAACCACUUCCUAUUCUCAACCCCCUUCCCCAUUAGUUCCAAUACAUCAUUCCAAUUCUCUAGGUAUGACCCACCCUCUUCUCAACAUUUUCUGAUAAGAAAUCUCUCUUGGACUUUUCUACCCUGUCUUUAAUUUUAUCAAUAUGUUUGAACGGAAGUGAAACACAAAAAGAUACUGUUAAGUGUCACAAUCUCACUAAGAAGACAAGUAGUUUGUGACCCCCACAUAGACGGCCAAGGUGGCGACCCUCAACCGGUGCCCAUCCGACCACGUGAGGGCUGAGACAGAUAAGUUCCAUGAUGCAACCGAGAAGGACGGUGCAUCAUUCAACACACCAAGAAGAAUGUGUAUUAAAGCCAAGUCGAGUCAUAAGCAAGGUUUGAGAGAACGAGGCGACAUGAGUGUCGAAGACAAGCUCAAAGAAUGUUGGUAGGGCCCCGAGCCAUAACCUCAGAAGUCAGAGUUUUGAUGAGUAUCGGCAUGCAGCUCUAGAGUUAAGUCUGCCUAUAUGAAAGAUAAAAGCUCACCAAAUUUGGUGACAAUCAGACACUCAACGGACUCUCCACAGGGUCGUAUGACUGCUCGCCGAAAUCACAUCUACUCUAGAAAGAUUAGAAAUGCCUCAAAAUGUACUAUAAGGGGAGGCAUAGUGUUAGCUCUCCACCAUCCCUGGGCCCUGUGGCUUAAGCAAGCUACCUUGUGGGACAGACGUGUGUCAUGGUGUGAGUGAGAGACACGGGUGUAUUCCUUUGAAAUUGGUCUUUCAAGAACAGUGUUGGAUGACACGGGUAUGCCGACAUUGCGUCUUAGUCCAUGUGUUGGAGGUUGUUAUAUACACCCGCUAUCUAGUAUGGAGUCCGUAGACGACAUAGCAUGAACUCAGGAGAGUUCAUGUCUCAAUGAGAACUCGGAUAGAUGGAUGUUUGGAUGUUCCGAUGAGAUGAUCAACACAUGGGUUGAUUCCAAUAGACGUGUUCGAGCAAACCUAAAUGGCCGAGUUGUCCCGAGACAUGGGAUGGGAUCACGAUGCAUGGGCCGUGUUGUUGAGAACCAAGACAAUGACUGAGAUGCGACGUUGUACAUGAGAGACCUUGGCCUAGAGUAGAGGCAAGGUCGAGUCGAAUGACUUGGCCUAGUGUAGAGGUAAGUCGGCUAGAGAUGCAAACAGUCAAACAUUCACGCACGGGCGGCAUGUGUGGCCGAACAAGGUUGUAUUUUGCACAAGUUGUGUUCAGUUGGCGAAGGUAAACCUCGCCUAAGAUCCGACGAAUCCACAAAGACAGACGAAAAAUGUGAAUGGGGUUUGAGUUUUCCUUUAGGCUUCUCAUGAGCUUGUCAAGAUCAUGACAUCGCACGGUUAAAAAGGUAUGACCUUGACAUAAGCACACCACACUAAGGAAUAUGGAGCCAAUACCAUGCUGCAAAGCUUGGAGGAUCAAAAUCACUGCAUCCACAUUUGUUGAAGUCAUUGUGGUACUUGGAAGUCAAAUAAUUUUAGUUGGGUUAUUUGAAGGUCGAUUAGCAGCACGAGUUUGAGACCUUUUGAAGUUUGUAACCUUCAUUACAAUAGAAUCUGCCGGCAAACCAGUAUACUUAUCAGUGUUCUCUUUUUUCCUCUUUUUUAUUUGUCAUUUGUGACUUGUUAACUUAUUUGGCUCACACUUGUGAAGGGUUGAACAAUUGAAGUAUAUUUUAGUUGUCUUAAUGCUCUUUGUAUCCAUUUCUCCCAACACCUAAGUAGAUUUGACUUGAGGAUAAUGGGCGUGGGAAACUCAAAUAAGACGAGGAAAGAGAAACAAAGAACCUUGCACCUAUAAAUAAUUGUUCACCUUCUUAGUUUGUCUACAUUGUAAAUGAUCUUGAAUAAAGAACACUCAUCUCUCUUAAA